rnacentral:misc_RNA from 1 species
GGAGAGCUUACCCCGGUGAGUGUGUUGUUUUUGUAAUAUAAAAUUCACAAUCUCAAUGGCAUACUAGAAGUAAAAUCUCUGGACCUCUUGGUUCCUCUGUUGAUUGGGAUACUAUUAACUCCUGCAUCUAGCCUCUGCAAUGUAUAAUUCUGCAGCCUAGCUGCAAUUUUUGUGCAUUUUAUCUAGUUUUAUUAGAACGCAGACCUGCGUGCAAUGAAUAUAUUGAAUUGAGAAUUUUGGAUCAGUGUUGAUGUCGUCUUGGGUCUGAUUAACCAUUAACAUUUUUUCUGGUAUUUAUAUACCUGCAAAAUGUUUCUUUAUUUGGGCAUGUUUUUGGAUACAAUGCUUGGUUGGCCAGUCCAGUUUGAUGUCUUGUCCAACCUGACCUGACUAUAUACAGAUCUUCAUUGUGAUACCCUGGCAUGUUCCAUUAGUUUCUUCUUCUCAGGUUACACAAUUGUACAUUGAUUUGGCAUAUUACAUAAUUUUUAUUCAGGAUUGUGUUCUAUCUAGUCAAUUGACUUAAGAUUUUCCUUUGGCAGGCAGACAAAUUAAACUUGCACCAAUAAUCUGGCUAACCAACUAUUAUUAUUGCUUGGAUGAUAUUAAUUUGAGGUAGAUUUGUUCAUAGUCUAGGGAACCAGCACAGACCUCCCUUAGAAAAUGGCAAGCUUAGGCUAGGAUUUUUGUAACUUGGAAUGGCCCGGCCUGGCCUGCUCUCAAAAUUGGUUGGCCCGGCUUGGUACCAACACUUUAUUGACGCCCUGUCUGACAAAAAGAAAAUGUACUUUUUAUAUUUUUAAUUAUGUUUAUUCAGUUGGGAUGGGCUUGAGCAAUUAUGAGUUGAGGCCAAAGUGAUUCAAGCUUGACUUGGCCUGGCUGAACAAGUGGGUUACACUUGGUUAAAAUAAAUAGAGUGCCACUAAAUCCUUGGGUGUUGUUUUCGUGUACACGUCAGAUUAUAAUUCAUCAAUCAACUGAUCAAUUUGGAAAAGAAAAGAAAAGAAAA